AAUCAACGCUGGCGGCGUGCCUCAGACAUGCAAGUCGAACGAUUAAAGCUCUCUUCGGAGAGUGCAUAGAGUGGCGCACGGGUGAGUAACACGUAAGUAAUCUACCCUCGAGUGGGGAAUAACAGUCGGAAACGGCUGCUAAUACCGCAUAAUGCAGCGGCACCGCAAGGUGACAGUUGUUAAAGGAGUAAUCCGCUUGAGGAGGAGCUUGCGGCAGAUUAGCUAGUUGGUAAGGUAAUGGCUUACCAAGGCUACGAUCUGUAUCCGGUCUAAGAGGACGGUCGGACACACUGACACUGAAUAACGGGUCAGACUCCUACGGGAGGCAGCAGUCGGGAAUUUUGGGCAAUGGGCGAAAGCCUGACCCAGCAACGCCGCGUGAAGGAUGAAGUAUUUCGGUAUGUAAACUUCGAAAGAAUGGGAAGAAUAAAUGACGGUACCAUUUAUAAGCUCCGGCUAACUACGUGCCAGCCGCCGCUGUAACAC
rnacentral:rRNA from 1 species